UGUUGGACGUAUCGACCCGUUCAGUACCGAAGCAAACGCGUUAAGUAUCCCGCCUGGGGAGUACGCACGCAAGUGUGAAACUCAAAGGAAUUGACGGGGGCCCGCACAAGCGGUGGAGUAUGUGGUUUAAUUCGAUGCAACGCGAAGAACCUUACCAGGACUUGACAUCCCUCGAACCUUUCAGAAAUGAGAGGGUGCCUUCGGGAGCGAGGAGACAGGUGGUGCAUGGCUGUCGUCAGCUCGUGUCGUGAGAUGUUGGGUUAAGUCCCGCAACGAGCGCAACCCACGUCCUUAGUUGCCAUCAUUAAGUUGGGCACUCUGGGGAGACUGCCGGGGACAACUCGGAGGAAAGUGUGGACGACGUCAAGUCAUCAUGCCCCUUACGUUCUGGGCUACACACGUACUACAAUGCUUCGGACAAAGGGCAGCCAGUUAGCGAUAGUGAGCUAAUCCCAUAAACCGAGGCACAGUUCAGAUUGCAGGCUGCAACUCGCCUGCAUGAAGUAGGAAUCGCUAGUAAUCGCAGGUCAGCAUACUGCGGUGAAUACGUUCCCGGGCCUUGUACACACCGCCCGUCACACCAUGGGAGUUGGCCACGCCCGAAGUCGUUACCCUAACCGCAUGUCGGAGGGGGGCGCCGAAGGCAGGGCUGAUGACUGGGGUGAAGUCGUAACAAGGUAGCCGUACCGGAAGGUGUGGCUGGAUCACCUCCUUU
rnacentral:rRNA from 1 species